UUGGAGGGCAAGUCUGGUGCCAGCAGCCGCGGUAAUUCCAGCUCCAAUAGCGUAUAUUAAAGUUGCUGCAGUUAAAAAGCUCGUAGUUGAAUUUCGGGACCAAUAUGUCGGUCGUGCCUCGGUACGUACUGGCAUCGUUGGUUUCUCCCUUCUGACGAACCAUGAUGUCAUUCAUUUGGUGUCGUGGGGAAUCAGGACUGUUACUUUGAAAAAGUUAGAGUGUUUAAAGCAGGCUCACGCUUGAAUACAUUAGCAUGGAAUAAUGAAAUAGGACGUUUGAUUCUAUUUUGUUGGUUUCUAGGAUCGACGUAAUGAUUAAUAGGGAUAGUUGGGGGCAUUAGUAUUCAAUUGUCAGAGGUGAAAUUCUUGGAUUUAUUGAAGACUAACUACUGCGAGAGCAUUUGCCAAGGAUGUUUUCAUUAAUCAAGAACGAAAGUUAGGGGAUCGAAGACGAUCAGAUACCGUCGUAGUCUUAACCAUAAACUAUGCCGACUAGGGAUCGGAUGAUGUUAAUUUUUUAAUGACUCAUUCGGCACCUUACGGGAAAC
rnacentral:rRNA from 1 species